rnacentral:rRNA from 1 species
UAGAUAUAUGGAGGAACACCAGUGGCGAAGGCGGCUCUCUGGUCUGUAACUGACGCUGAGGCUCGAAAGCGUGGGGAGCGAACAGGAUUAGAUACCCUGGUAGUCCACGCCGUAAACGAUGAGUGCUAAGUGUUGGAGGGUUUCCGCCCUUCAGUGCUGCAGCAAACGCAUUAAGCACUCCGCCUGGGGAGUACGACCGCAAGGUUGAAACUCAAAGGAAUUGACGGGGGCCCGCACAAGCGGUGGAGCAUGUGGUUUAAUUCGAAGCAACGCGAAGAACCUUACCAGGUCUUGACAUCCUUUGACCACUCUAGAGAUAGAGCUUCCCCUUCGGGGGCAAAGUGACAGGUGGUGCAUGGUUGUCGUCAGCUCGUGUCGUGAGAUGUUGGGUUAAGUCCCGCAACGAGCGCAACCCUUAUUGUUAGUUGCCAUCAUUUAGUUGGGCACUCUAGCGAGACUGCCGGUGACAAACCGGAGGAAGGUGGGGAUGACGUCAAAUCAUCAUGCCCCUUAUGACCUGGGCUACACACGUGCUACAAUGGGAAGUACAACGAGUUGCGAAGUCGCGAGGCUAAGCUAAUCUCUUAAAGCUUCUCUCAGUUCGGAUUGUAGGCUGCAACUCGCCUACAUGAAGCCGGAAUCGCUAGUAAUCGCGGAUCAGCACGCCGCGGUGAAUACGUUCCCGGGCCUUGUACACAC